ACGACUUGCUGUGUUCUUGUCCUGACAAUUAUCUGAUUUUGACGUAUUUGAGUUCCAAGGUGUUAUCAUUCUCAUUUGCAUUACUGUUUUUGUUUUUAUUUCUUUCCUUCUGUUCAUGUAAUAAACUAUUAUUACAUUUAGUACAAUUUGACACAUAAGACGAAAUAUAAGUGAUUAUACAAGGUAGAUCUACAAGGUAUUCGCAUCACCCCAGCUGACAGCACCUUUAAAUGUCAAAACAAGUUAUUGUAAUUCUGAAUUCGCCUUAAAUAAAUGCAACACAAAAACAAAGUUUGUUUAUGUCUUCUUCACUAAUUUUUUUUUCGGAUGUUUCAAAAUUUAAGAGCAAGUUUAGAGUGAAUUACCAGCAAAAAAAUUAAAAAGAAAAUGAAAUAGUGUUCCAUUUGCAAUAAGAAAUACCCUGAGUCACGAGAGCUAUGACUCAGUUGGUAUUAUCCAAACUCCUACUAGCCCCAGCUCAUCCAGCUUUCUGUGGUCUGUGAAAACUCUUUGUAUGGUUUUGGGAAUUUGCAUCGGCUCUGCUACCAAGAGGGCUUUUAGUGGUGGCGAUAUUGGUGCUAUGUUCUUUCUUUAAAACCUUUUGAUCGGAAACACUUGCUUCUGUUGUGCCAUGUGUUGGAGUCGGAGUAACCUCCCGUUACCGACAAUAGCUGACAUAUUACCACUAAUUUGUCGAUGACGUAGAAGAUAUUACAGUUGUAGGGGUUUUAAAAACAUUUCGGAGGUUUACUAUCAACUUGGGGCUGUUACAAUGGUCCCUGAGAGUCGUAUUAUUGCUUGCCUUAAUUUCCACACACAACAUAAAAUGUAAACAAACACCUCGUUUCUGAUUGGUUGAAACGAAUUUGCCGCAAACUUUAAAUGUCAUGGCGAAUGCAUGUUUUUCGCCUUAGACGCCAAUUUUGACAUUUGAGGGUACCACAAAAGUUGCUUUGUUGUAGCAAUUCGCCGAUGCGAUUAUCUGUUAAAUCUACCUUGUUAUUAUACUUCACAAAUUGUCAUUUACCAUUUACCUGCAUUUCCCUGGACUUUUGGCAAUGAAACAAUUGGUGAUCGUUCUGGCACAUAGGACUUUUGGUAAGACGAUUAUCCUCAGAAAUGAUUGUAAAUUAAGGAUUAUUUUGUUUUCCUUUUUGUUGCAUGACAAUUCGGCCCUACCGAUAUCCACUUCGAGGGAAAGAGAAACAGAUUUCGCUACCUCUUGUAACCAUAAGCUGAAAUCUUUGUUGUUGUUGUAGCAGUAGCACAUUUGAGUGUUUGCGUUCUGCUAAUCUGGUUUCAGCUCCACGUUUAAAAAUUCGGUUACUUUGUUUGGGCUGUAGUUAGAGAUCUUCUGGAGUGAGUUAGGUAGGCUUGGCUGUGCAAUUAAAGAAGUGCAGCGUAUUGUGCGGGCCUGUAUCACACGCCAGGAAGACGUCACGCAUAUCUUCAUCAGUUCAUGCUUAAUAUGAAUUGAGACGACUGCACCAUCCUGAACAUAAUUGCGCCAAUACUACCCUGGUUUGUCUAGGCAGCUAGCGUUCUUCCGCUGCAAUAGAUGGGGGUGGACUCCGAGGACGGCAUUAAUUUUAUAGCUGCUGAUACCACCCGCGACUGCAUCAGACCUGCCUGAUAGGUUUCAUGAUCUAGAGGUUCUCUCUGUAUGAUUUCUCUCUAGAUCAUGCAGGUCCUUCCUGACACGUUUGGGUGUUGGAGUUGUAUCCACCAUAUGAUGGUUGGGAUGACUCUCAACACCCAAGCAGGUACUGCAACGAAAGCAUAUAAUAUGCUGACGUAAGGGAAGGAAUUUCGGCUUCUCAUGUAGAUGGUCCACUAGUGUCAUGAGAAGGCACCCCAGCAAGUAUAUAGCGAGCUGCUGCAGCUUUGAAGAUGUUUCGGAAUAUCCUUUCUGUUACCGGAAUAUCAGAAGGGUUGGGCAGUUCUAAAGACUAGCUCACUAGAGACUAGCUCAAGCGAGAUAGGUCUGUACUAAACACACUGGUGUAACAGGAACGCUAAACACCCACCGCCACUUCUGCUGCAAUCCUUCCUAAGUACGUUGUAACCAUAGCAACGUUGUAGACUGCAAUUUUUAUUUAGCUUGGUUAUUGCAGCACGUCGCAACAUGAUCCAUUUCGCUAUAGUCUCGCAAAUGCCUUAGUCCGGAAAAGUUCUUGGAGUGCACCCAUUCUCUACAUCCAUUACAUCGCACCGAAACAGAUCUGUGGUGGAUGACGUUCUGACAAACCGAGCAGAACCAAGGUCCGGGGUUUUCCUCAAUCCCGGCAUGGACCAAGAAAAUCCGGAGCAAGCAUUCCGUGAUAUGCUGUUCCCAAUGCAGAAAAAUAAACAAACACAAACACGUAGAUACUGGGUUGGCCGCUGUCCGAAACUGAGAUAAGGUGAUGCAGUGAGUGUCUUGUCCACUCUUCUUGCUUGUUCAAUCGACUGUUGGGUACAGACCAAGGCGAUGCAGUGAGUGUCUCGUCCACUCUUAUCGCUUAUUCAAUGCUUUCUAUGGAAAUGUCAACUCGUGGACAAAAUGCGUACCUCGGAUGAGAGAGAAAACAAAAGUUACUUCCGUUUGAAUGUACAUACGCCAUUCAAUAUUGUAUUUUCCAUUCAUAAUAAUAAGUCUUCCCAAUUUUUUUUUUUUUU